CGGGCGGUAGCGCAGCCUGGUCAGCGCGCGUGCCUUGGGAGCACGAGGUCGCGGGUUCAAAUCCCGCCCGCCCGA
rnacentral:tRNA from 1 species